GACGAACGCUGGCGGCGUGCCUAAUACAUGCAAGUGGAACGCACUGAUGAAUCCGUAGCUUGCUACAAUUUCAUCAGUGAGUCGCGAACGGGUGAGUAACGCGUAGGUAACCUGCCUGGUAGCGGGGAAUAACUAUUGGAAACGAUAGCUAAUACCGCAUAAGACAUUUUACUGCAUGGUAAGAUGUUAAAAGAUGCAACUGCAUCACUACCAGAUGGACCUGCGUUGUAUUAGCUAGUUGGUGAGGUAACGGCUCACCAAGGCCACGAUACAUAGCCGACCUGAGAGGGUGAUCGGCCACACUGGGACUGAGACACGGCCCAGACUCCUACGGGAGGCAGCAGUAGGGAAUCUUCGGCAAUGGGGGGAAACCUGACCGAGCAACGCCGCGUGAGUGAAGAAGGUUUUCGGAUCGUAAAGCUCUGUUGUAAGAGAAGAAAGCGUGUGAGAGUGGAAAGUUCACACAGUGACGGUAUCUUACCAGAAAGGG
rnacentral:rRNA from 1 species